GAUGAACGCUGGCGGCGUGCCUAAUACAUGCAAGUCGAGCGAAUGGAUUAAGAGCUUGCUCUUAUGAAGUUAGCGGCGGACGGGUGAGUAACACGUGGGUAACCUGCCCAUAAGACUGGGAUAACUCCGGGAAACCGGGGCUAAUACCGGAUAACAUUUUGAACCGCAUGGUUCGAAAUUGAAAGGCGGCUUCGGCUGUCACUUAUGGAUGGACCCGCGUCGCAUUAGCUAGUUGGUGAGGUAACGGCUCACCAAGGCAACGAUGCGUAGCCGACCUGGGAGGGUGCUCGGCCACACUGGGACUGAGACACGGCCCAGACUCCUACGGGGGGCAGCAGUAGGGAAUCUUCCGCAAUGGACGAAAGUCUGACGGAGCAACGCCGCGUGAGUGAUGAAGGCUUUCGGGUCGUAAAACUCUGUUGUUAGGGAAGAACAAGUGCUAGUUGAAUAAGCUGGCACCUUGACGGUACCUAACCAGAAAGCCACGGCUAACUACGUGCCAGCCGCCGCAGUAA
rnacentral:rRNA from 1 species